AGACAGCAGUCGCCACGGUAAUACGGAGGGUGCAAGCGUUAAUCGGAAUUACUGGGCGUAAAGCGCACGCAGGCGGUUUGUUAAGUCAGAUGUGAAAUCCCCGAGCUUAACUUGGGAACUGCAUUUGAAACUGGCAAGCUAGAGUCUUGUAGAGGGGGGUAGAAUUCCAGGUGUAGCGGUGAAAUGCGUAGAGAUCUGGAGGAAUACCGGUGGCGAAGGCGGCCCCCUGGACAAAGACUGACGCUCAGGUGCGAAAGCGUGGGGAGCAAACAGGAUUAGAUACCCCUGUAGUCCCUGUCUCUUAUAC
rnacentral:rRNA from 1 species